rnacentral:lncRNA from 1 species
UUCCGCCACUUUAAAAAAUGAACUUGUCCGCAACGUUUCUCCAAAACCGCUUGUCAGAUUGACUUAGGAUUUCAUUAAAUGGUAGACUAAUAUGUCUAGGUGAGCCAUCAAUCUUUCGUUUGUGCAUUGGGGUCUAUUAAGGGGUAUUUUUAGGGGGGGGGUAGAAAGAAGGGAGGGGUUUACUAUAGAACCCUAUGGGAUUUUAUUUUCUAAAAUUUUCAAAUGAAUAUAACUUGAAAACUGUAAGUGAUAGAUACAUGCAGUCUUCAGAAAUGAUUAUAGGACAAUAAAAAAAAUCACAAGAAAUAUAGGGGGAGUCCCUGGGAGUUAAUCCCCACCCCUUUCAAUUUGAGAAUAUGCUUAUAUCUUGUAACCGAUCCAGAUCCCCGACCCUAAAACAUAUAUAUUCCUGAUUGGGACAAUAAAACAAAUCAAAUGCAAUUAAAGGGAGGUCAUCGGGUGUCAUCCCAACCCCGUUCAAUUUCAUAAUGUGCUAUUAUCUUGUAAACGGUCCAGAUCCCCACCCCUAAACCAUAUAUAUUCUUGUAGGGGACAAUAAAACAAAUGAAAUGAAAUUAAAGGGAAGUCCCUAGGGGGUCACCCCACCCCCUCUUGUUUGAAAACUUGUAAAUGGUCAACAUCCCCAACCCUAAACUAUAUAUAUUCUUGUAUGGUACAAUAAAACAAAUCACAUGAAAUUAAGUGGAAGUUCCUGGGGGUCACUCCCAC